rnacentral:rRNA from 1 species
GAUCAUGGCUCAGAUUGAACGCUGGCGGCAUGCUUUACACAUGCAAGUCGAACGGUAACAGGCCUUCGGGCGCUGACGAGUGGCGAACGGGUGAGUAACGCAUCGGAACGUGCCCAGUCGUGGGGGAUAACGCAGCGAAAGCUGUGCUAAUACCGCAUACGAUCUGCGGAUGAAAGCGGGGGACCUUAGGGCCUCGCGCGAUUGGAGCGGCCGAUGUCAGAUUAGGUAGUUGGUGGGGUAAAGGCUCACCAAGCCAACGAUCUGUAGCUGGUCUGAGAGGACGACCAGCCACACUGGAACUGAGACACGGUCCAGACUCCUACGGGAGGCAGCAGUGGGGAAUUUUGGACAAUGGACGCAAGUCUGAUCCAGCCAUUCCGCGUGCAGGAUGAAGGCCCUCGGGUUGUAAACUGCUUUUGUACGGAACGAAAAGGUCCGGGUUAAUACCCUGGGCUCAUGACGGUACCGUAAGAAUAAGGAUCGGCUAACUCCGUG